rnacentral:rRNA from 1 species
CUGGAGGUAUCAGAAGUGCGAAUGCUGACAUAAGUAACGAUAAAGCGGGUGAAAAGCCCGCUCGCCGGAAGACCAAGGGUUCCUGUCCAACGUUAAUCGGGGCAGGGUGAGUCGACCCCUAAGGCGAGGCCGAAAGGCGUAGUCGAUGGGAAACAGGUUAAUAUUCCUGUACUUGGUGUUACUGCGAAGGGGGGACGGAGAAGGCUAUGUUGGCCGGGCGACGGUUGUCCCGGUUUAAGCGUGUAGGCUGGUUUUCCAGGCAAAUCCGGAAAAUCAAGGCUGAGGCGUGAUGACGAGGCACUACGGUGCUGAAGCAACAAAUGCCCUGCUUCCAGGAAAAGCCUCUAAGCAUCAGGUAACAUCAAAUCGUACCCCAAACCGACACAGGUGGUCAGGUAGAGAAUACCAAGGCGCUUGAGAGAACUCGGGUGAAGGAACUAGGCAAAAUGGUGCCGUAACUUCGGGAGAAGGCACGCUGAUAUGUAGGUGAAGUCCCUCGCGGAUGGAGCUGAAAUCAGUCGAAGAUACCAGCUGGCUGCAACUGUUUAUUAAAAACACAGCACUGUG